rnacentral:rRNA from 1 species
UACAGAGGGGGCAAGCGUUGUUCGGAAUUACUGGGCGUAAAGCGCACGUAGGCGGCUUUGCAAGUCGGAUGUGAAAUCCCUCGGCUUAACCAAGGAAGUGCAUCCGAAACUGCAGAGCUUGAGUACUUAAGAGGAUCGCGGAAUUCCCGGUGUAGAGGUGAAAUUCGUAGAUAUCGGGAGGAACACCAGUGGCGAAGGCGGCGAUCUGGGAAGAUACUGACGCUGAGGUGCGAAAGCGUGGGGAGCAAACAGG